UGGGGAGGGAUCAUUAAGGCUUUAUGAUUACCGCUCUAUAACCCUUUGUGAAAUACCUAACUGUUGGUUCGGCGGGUUAGGGGGUCCCCCCGGGGAGGCCUUCCCGGCCGGGCCUUCUUCCUCCGGGAAGGGUCGCGGCGCCCGCCGGAGGAUAACCAAAACUCUGAUUUAACGACGUUUCUUCUGAGUGGCACAAGCAAAUAAUUAAAACUUUUAACAACGGAUCUCUUGGUUCUGGCAUCGAUGAAGUAACGCAGCGAAAUGCGAUAAGUAAUGUGAAUUGCAGAAUUCAGUGAAUCAUCGAAUCUUUGAACGCACAUUGCGCCCGCCAGCAUUCUGGCGGGCAUGCCUGUUCGAGCGUCAUUUCAACCCUCAAGCUUCGCUUGGUGUUGGGGCACUACGGUUGACGUAGGCCCUCAAAAGUUGUGGCGGACCCUCCCGGAGCCUCCUUUGCGUAGUUACUAACGUCUCGCAUCGGGAUCCGGAAGGGACUCUUGCCGUAAAACCCCCUAACUUUUAACUGGUUGACCUCGGAUCAGGUAUGGAUUACCCGCUGAAUUAUGCCCUUCCGC
rnacentral:rRNA from 1 species